CCUACGGGAGGCAGCAGUGAGGGAUAUUGCGCAAUGGGCGAAAGCCUGACGCAGCGACGCCGCGUGGGCGAGGAAGGCCUUCGGGUUGUAAAGCCCUUUUGGCAGGGAAGAGCAAGGACUGUACCUGCAGAACAAGUCACGGCUAACUACGUGCCAGCAGCCGCGGUAAAACGUAGGUGGCGAGCGUUAUCCGGAAUCACUGGGCGUAAAGGGCGUCUAGGCGGUCGGGUAAGAGAGACGUGAAAGCUCCUGGCUCAACUGGGGUGAGUGCGUGCGAUACUGCCCCGCUUGAGUGCCGGAGGGGAGAGUGAAACGGUGCAAGUAGCGGUAAAAUGCGUAGAUAUGCACCGGACCACCGGUGGCGAAGGCGGCUUUCUAGACGGCCACCGACGCUGAGGGACGAAAGCCGGGGGAGCGAACGGGAUUAGAUACCCCUGUAGU
rnacentral:rRNA from 1 species